rnacentral:rRNA from 1 species
GGUUCGAUCAUGGCUCAGAUUGAACUGCUGGCGGGAUGCUUUACACACAAGUCAGGCAGCAGCCUGGACUUCGGUCUGGUGGCGAGUGGCGAACAGGUGAGUAAUGUAUCGGAACGUGCCUAGUAGCGGGGAUAACUACGCGAAAGCGUAGCUAAUACCACAUACGCCCUUCGGGGAAAGCGGGGGACCUUCGGGCCUCGCACUAUUAGAGCGGCCGAUAUCCGGAUUAGCUAGUUGGUGGGGUAACGGCUCACCAAGGCGACGAUCCGUAGCUGGUUUGAGAGGACGACCAGCCACACUGGGACUGAGACACGGCCCAGACUCCUACGGGAGGCAGCAGUGGGAAUUUUGGACAAUGGGAACCUGACGGCGCCAUCCGCGUGUUGCGACUGGAGCCUUCGGAUGUAAAAGCUUUUGGCGGCGGAAACGGCGAUAAUACCGGCAACUGACGGCUCCACCAGAAUGGCACCGGCUAACUACGUGCCAGCAUCCGCGGUAAUACGUAGGGUGCAAGCGUUAAUCAGGUACUGGGCGUAAAGCGUGCGCGAACGGUUCGGAAAGAAAGAUGUGAAAUCCCAGAGCUUAACUUUGGAACUGCAUUUUUAACUACCGAGCUAGAGUGCAUAUGUAGAGGAGGUGGAGAUUCCGCGUGUAGCAGUGAAAUGCGCCAGAAUAUCUGCGGAGGAACACCGAUGGCGAGAGCAACCUCCUGGGAUAACACUGACGCUCAUGCACAGCGUGGGAGCAAACAGGAUUAGAUACCCUGGUAGUCCACGCCUAAACGAUGUCAACUAGCUGUUGGGGCCUUCGGGCCUUGGUAGCGCAGCUAACGCGUGAAGUUGACCGCCUGAGAGUACGGUCGCAAGAUUAAAACUCAAAGGAAAUUGACGGGGACCCGCACAAGCGGUGGAUGAUGUGGAUUAAUUCGAUGCAACGCGAAAAACCUUACCUACCCUUGACAUGUCUGGAAUCCCGAAGAGAUUUGGGAGUGCUCGCAAGGGAACCGGAACACAGGUGCUGCAUGGCUGUCGUCAGCUCGUGUCGUGAGACGUGUUGGGUUAAGUCCCGCAACGAGCGCAACCCUUGUCAUUAGUUGCUACGAGAAGGGCACUCUAAUGAGACUGCCGGUAGCAAACCGGAGGAAGGUGGGGAUGACGUCAAAGUCCUCAUGGCCCUUAUGGGUAGGGCUUCACACGUCAUACAAUGGUCGGGACAGAGGGUCGCCAACCCGCGAGGAGCCAAUCCCAGAAACGAUCGUAGUCCGGAUCGCAGUCUGCAACUCGACUGCGUGAAGUCGGAAUCGCUAGUAAUCGCGGAUCAGCAUGUCGCGGUGAAUACGUUCCCGGGUCUUGUACACACCGCCCGUCACACCAUGGGAGUGGGUUUUACCAGAAGUAGUUAGCCUAACCGUAAGGAGGGCGAUUACCACGGUAGGAUUCAUGACUGGGGUGAAGUCGUAACAAGGUAG